GCAGGUUUUUCCUUCCCUUCCUUCUUUUCAUCCUCCCGUCUGUCCUUCUGCCGCACUGGAGACUGGGAGGAGGAGAGGUGUCGCCGUGGAGAUCUGCAUAAACAAGACAGGCACACAGCUGGAGGGGAAGGUUUGGGGGCCACUGUAGAAGAUCAAAUCUAAAGGCUCUUCUGGAGCUCGACUCUGUCCUCUUCCUCCUUCAUCACUCCGUUAUAGUCGUAAUAAGCUACCUCACCCACCAGCAAAGCCUCAUGGGAUAGAGGUAGUAGGCCACAUUUCAUGGCUGAUACCUACAUGAAUGAUUAAUCAUGAACACUCCAGGAAGAUGGUGAACUGCAAGUUCAAAAUCUGGUAAAUUGCCCCUUUGGAUCCGAUCUCAAUGCAUGUUACAAGUUAACUUAUCUAUCGAGCAUCUACGUCUGAGAUGUAAUUUGUGUAGAGUGCUUAUAUAUCGCUUGCCACUCUAAGAGCUAAAAACAGCAGCUCUUCAUCAGCCUGCGUGUGCUAUGUGUAACACAACAGAACAGUGCUAGUAUACUGAAGUGCAUUGCGCAUACAGACUAUAUAUUUAUUUAUUAAAUGCAGCGUUUUGAGAUUCACGAAGCUAUUGUAUGUAUUCAAGAGGCUUAAAAGCAAACAUGCAUGAGUCUUAUGGACCAAUUUAAUGGUGCCUUUAUGUUUUUUUUAUGCCAUUUUUGGAACUUGACUAUGACAAUGACUAACACACAGUAUCGGAUUUGUAUCGGGCUUGUCGGACCGAUACCUAAUCUGGUUAAAAAUGUCAAUGUAUUGGAUUGGUGCAUCCCUAGCUGCAACUAAAGUGAGACGCUCCAGAAGUGUCCACCUGACGUAUGAGUAGAUAGGCCAACAAUUACAAAUAGCACCAACAAUAUUUUGACUUCUAAAGCCACCUUUUGGAUUGUCUAAAUGCCAUAAUGUAUGUAUAUGAUGUAAUGUAUUUGAAUUAUCUGAAUUACUGUAUAAUAUUUAUUAUAUAUUACAUUCAAUUUUAAUUAUUAUACAUUGAAUUAUCUUUAUUUGUUGGUCUUUCACAAUAAAUAUGUAUUUAUGCGUAUAAUUGUGGUUAAUUGGAUUAAUUAAUCAGCACAUGUAAUAAAUUCGAUUCAAAUUUUUUAUUGAUUAACAGCCCUAAUAAAUACAGUAAAUAAAUAAAUGUUAGUCCUUUAUGUGCUUCACAAUUUAGAGAAAUAAAUAUUAUGCAUAAAUAGUCUAUAAUUAAGUUUUUUGUUUAAUAUUACUUUUAAUAUUUAACCGAAAUAUUAUUUCAUUUCAAAAUUCAUGGCAUCAGGGCAGACUUUGCAUAAAACAAUCACUUUCCCCUCUACUGAAAGUUUGCUGUUUCAGCAAUGUUGAUU